AAGUUAUAACAUGGCCAUGAUUUGUAAUGACUAAUGACUGAAGAUAUAUGGCUAUAUAGAGUGUAGACAUAUUCUGAUAUAACCAAGUCAAAAGUCCAAACGUUCAACAUCUAUUUGUGGUAUACCUAUUCAUGUCUGUGAAAUUCAAUGUAAUAUACUUCGCAGUUCGCAUCAAUAAUCUGGAAUGUUUUAUUAAAAUGUGAAUAAAGUUAAAGCUGAACAAUCUUACAUUGAAAAUCAAAAGGAUAGAUUUUCAAGUGGACACCAUUACUGCUGAAAAUAUAGAUAACCCAUCAGAUGUAUUAGUUAGAGCUGCCAAGAAUCAAUUUCAAUUUAAGCGAUGAUCUGUGUAUCUGAUGAUGAGUCAGUAAAGUGUAAGUUUUUUCUGUAUAAUAUCCAUGUUUAUUGUCAUAAUAUUUAAUUUGUAUAAAUGUAUAUCAUACAAGUUGGACAGUGUAUAGUUUAUAUCUUCAGUUCUGAGUGUAGUGAAUAAUGUAAAAAUAAUUUAUUAUUCCAGCUUAGGUACCUUACCAGUGGUCAAAGUACUAUUGUUGCUAUAAUUUUAGGUGUGUCGUGUGUGCACAAGGACAGCAGGGUGUGCACUUGCUGCCUCUGGCCCGAAAGAGACAGUCGAGACAAAUUAAAUGCAAUUUAAUUUGCAAAGUAUGUUAUGCGUAAAUUUUAAAUAUAUAUAUUUUUUUAUUACUUUCAAGCCUCAACAACUAAGGUUAUUAGCUCACAUAUUUACAAUAUUAAAAUAUGAUUAAUCUUAGUAUGCACAAUGCAGAAAAAGAAAAAGACAUACAAUGAUAUAAGGUUAGUUUGGUUAUUUUUAAAAAAGUUAGAAUAUUGUUGGGAUUUAAUAAUCAGGUUCAAGUGCUUUAUAUAGGUGCUUAGGUAUAUUUAAUGAGGUUCUAAUGUCUACAUAAUUGCUGCAGUAUAGAAGAACUUCACAGUUAGAGCUUCACCGCAGGUAGUACAUUGGAUAGGUUCUUCGUGUUUCAUGAGCACACAAUAUGUGUGAAUUAUAUUAUAGUAUUGAUAGUAAAAGGUAGACAAUAAGUUAAGUCAUUUUAGUUAUAGUUGGAAAUUGCAUUGGGCCUUAGCAUAUCUGUAGUAUUUCACAUAUAGCUAUCGUAUUAAACUGAAUGAAUACGAGAUAAAAUAAUAUAAUAUUUCAUAAAGUCUGUGGAGAAGUAAUACAUAUAAGUAAUACAUCA